rnacentral:lncRNA from 1 species
CAAUUUGUUGUUAUUAAGACAUUUACAGUUUAGUCUCGAUGUACAGAAAUGUUGGAUUCAAUUAUUAUCUAAAAUAUAAUCAGUAGUUUUGUAAAAAAUUUACAGUUUCUGACAGUGGACAGUGAACUGGGUUUGGGGUGUAGGAUGAUAUGCUGAGGAGGUAGGAUGUGAGGAUAUAGAGUUAAUGUAUCUUAGGAAGUAUGAAGGAGAAAUGUAAUGAAGAGGGUUAGUAGCAAGAGAAUACACAGGAAGUAAUUUAGGGUAGGCAAGUAUGUGGGAUGACAGUAGAGUACAUAAAAGAAAACAUAUUUAGAAAAAUAUAGACGUUAAAACAGUAAAAUUUGGAGGGGGAAAGAAAAAUGAAAAAAUAAAAAGGAAAAGAAAAAAGGGCACAUACAACACCUCUAUAUUAUAUUAUUCAGAUGACUCAGUUUUGAAAAUCCUAUUUCACACAAAGUUCUUGGUUUCACACAUGUUGGGGAUGUGAGGGCCGGAGGAUAGAGGGGUAGAAGAGAAAAAACAAACAAACAACUGUAAAGGAAGAAGCCAAGGUUGUAGCUAGAUUUAGAGAUCCGUAUCUUUCCUGCUUCUCUUCUCAUCCAGUAGGCGGCAUGGUCUGUUGUAAGCUGGUGUCUCUGCCCUCUGGAUGGUGGAGGUAACCAGGGUGGGAAGACUGGUCCUAGGACAGGGCACUUGGAUGCACGGAGUGGCACCCACCAAUCCCUGCAGAAAGACUGCACCACAUGGGUCUCUCUUUGGGACCGCUCGCUUUGGGACCUCUGGCUCUGGGACCGCUCGCUUGUAUGACUUGAGCACCCAGUACUAUCUCCCUCUCUUGCCUGGAGAUUUCCCAGUUCCUGGUCUCUCUGUUAGGCUCCAAACUGAGCUCUGUCUCCU